AUGAUUUGCAAUGUUGUGAUUAUCCUCGUUUCCCCAGAGAACACGACACAUGAUGGAAUAGAGUGUGGUGAGGAAAACCAACGGAAUCGCAUAAAGAACAAUCAGCUCACAGUACUUGAAGUAGGUUCUGCAAGCAAAAGAAAACAC
ensembl:ncRNA F31B9.5 ncRNA